rnacentral:rRNA from 1 species
UCUACGGGUGGCAGCAGUGGGGAAUAUUGCACAAUGGGCGCAAGCCUGAUGCAGCCAUGCCGCGUGUGUGAAGAAGGCCUUCGGGUUGUAAAGCACUUUCAGCGGGGAGGAAGGCGUUAAGGUUAAUAACCUUGGCGAUUGACGUUACCCGCCGAAGAAGCACCGGCUAACUCCGUGCCAGCAGCUGCGGUAAUACGGAGGGUGCAAGCGUUAAUCGGAAUUACUGGGCGUAAAGCGCACGCAGGCGGUCUGUCAAGUCGGAUGUGAAAUCCCCGGGCUCAACCUGGGAACUGCAUUCGAAACUGGCAGGCUAGAGUCUUGUAGAGGGGGGUAGAAUUCCAGGGGUAGCGGUGAAAUGCGUAGAGAUCUGGAGGAAUACCGGUGGCGAAGGCGGCCCCCUGGACAAAGACUGACGCUCAGGUGCGAAAGCGUGGGGAGCAAACAGGAUUAGAUACCCGUGUAGUC